rnacentral:rRNA from 1 species
AGUAAAAGUCGUAACAAGGUUUCCGUAGGUGAACCUGCGGAAGGAUCAUUAACGUGCAUCCGACGGGGGCGGCUCCCUCCCUGCUCCGGACCGAAAGGCCGUGCAGCGGGAGGGGCCGCGCCCCGCUCGACCCUUGCAAACCCACCGUGCACCUUUGUCGGCGACGGGCCCGAGAGGGCCCCGAGCCGGAUCACAAACUCUAAACUUUUGAAAUGCCAGCGGACAGUGUUCUGCCCAAAUUUUUAACAACUUUCAACAACGGAUCUCUUGGCUCUCGCAUCGAUGAAGAACGCAGCGAAAUGCGAUAAGUAAUGUGAAUUGCAGAAUUCAGUGAAUCGUCGAAUCUUUGAACGCACCUUGCGCUCCUUGGUAUUCCGAGGAGCAUGCCUGUUUGAGUGUCUUGAAGUCAUCAACCUCCCCGCGUUUUUCGUCGGGUCCCGGGUUGGACCUGGGGGGUCUCUGCGGCCGCUCGGCCGCUCCCCUCAAAUGACUCGGUCGGGCCUGUGGGUCGGACUCGGUUCUGGGCGUUGUACCAUCCUCGCUCGCUUCCGAGAGGUUCCCCGCCUCCCCCUCGAGGGAGGGCCCCUCCAAGACCGUCCGUGGGGCGACGGUCACCUUUUUCGAAAUCUGACCUCAAAUCAG